rnacentral:rRNA from 1 species
AACGUAGGAGGCAAGCGUUAUCCGGAUUUACUGGGCGUAAAGCGUGUGCAGGCGGUUGUCCAAGUCGUGUAUGAAAGCGCUCCGCUUAACGGGGCGAGGCUAGACGAGACUGGGCGACUAGAAUCAGACAGAGGCAAGCGGAAUUCCGGGUGUAGUGGUGAAAUGCGUAGAGAUCCGGAGGAACACCAGAGGCGCAGGCGGCUUGCUGGGUCUGUAUUGACGCUCGAGAC